rnacentral:rRNA from 1 species
CGUCAGUCUUUGUCCAGGGGGCCGCCUUCGCCACCGGUAUUCCUCCAGAUCUCUACGCAUUUCACCGCUACACCUGGAAUUCUACCCCCCUCUACAAGACUCAAGCCUGCCAGUUUCGAAUGCAGUUCCCAGGUUGAGCCCGGGGAUUUCACAUCCGACUUGACAGACCGCCUGCGUGCGCUUUACGCCCAGUAAUUCCGAUUAACGCUUGCACCCUCCGUAUUACCGCGGCUGCUGGCACGGAGUUAGCCGGUGCUUCUUCUGCGAGUAACGUCAAUCGACACGGUUAUUAACCGUAUCGCCUUCCUCCUCGCUGAAAGUACUUUACAACCCGAAGGCCUUCUUCAUACACGCGGCAUGGCUGCAUCAGGCUUGCGCCCAUUGUGCAAUAUUCCCCACUGCUGCCUCCCGUAGGAGUCUGGACCGUGUCUCAGUUCCAGUGUGGCUGGUCAUCCUCUCAGACCAGCUAGGGAUCGUCGCCUAGGUGAGCCGUUACCCCACCUACUAGCUAAUCCCAUCUGGGCACAUCUGAUGGCAAGAGGCCCGAAGGUCCCCCUCUUUGGUCUUGCGACGUUAUGCGGUAUUAGCUACCGUUUCCAGUAGUUAUCCCCCUCCAUCAGGCAGUUUCCCAGACAUUACUCACCCGUCCGCCACUCGUCACCCGAGAGCAAGCUCUCUGUGCUACCGUUCGACUUGCAUGUGUUAGGCCUGCCGCCAGCGUUCAAU